UGCCCAUCAGAAAGCAGUUUGUAAGAGUGAGCUGUUGCUAAAGAAUUGCUUAUCUUUAAUUAAUCUUUGGGGAUGAUAAAUGUUUUGAAACAUUUCUAAUAGAAUUCGCAGUCCUGCAGGCAGUAACAGUAAAAUUUGUACUUUAAAGUCACAUUUUGCUCUCAUUUGUACUGCACUAUAUUUGGAGAUGAUCGUUUAUGUCUAUGAGAAGUCUAUCUCAAAUUAAUGCUGGUGCAGAUGAUGACAGAGUCUACUCCAGCGAGUAUCCACUUUUUGCUGCUCCUACAAAACCACAUUCAAAUGAAGCAACAGGAGCAAGACCCAACCCUCUCCUCCAUGGGAGUGAGCAAGAGCAUCGGUACCUCCACAUGACAGCAUAUCUAUCCUGCUUGAACUGUGAAGCAGGGAUCUGCCAAGAGGUGGAAAAGGUGCUCCCCUUGCUCCAGCCUUGCUUUACAGACACCCACAACUGACUUAGAUCCUUCAGCAGAGAGCAUAGACCGUGUGGCAGAGGCCUACAGGUGGGAUUGCAUCUGGAUGACCAUUUAUUAUGUCCUCUUCUUCAGGCAUAUGCUCUUCUUAUGAGGUACUGCAAAUUCAUGUGGGCUUAGUUUUCCUUCUACUUAAACAAACAAACAAAAAACCCCCCAAAACUGUGAGCCAGUUUCCAGGACAUUCUUUAGCAGGCAGAGUGGUUUAUGUUGUGGUGGCAGCUCUAAAACCAAGGGUUUAACUAAUUGAGUCAGUUAAAAUCCUGUAUCACUUCCUGGACUUUAUCAAAAUGUAAAUCUCUCUUAUUCUGAUAGCAUUCAUGAUGGGUAAUUGAUUCAUUUGUGCCUAAGGUGUCCAGGAAAGCAAUGGAGUCACCAUCCCUGAUGGUGGUCAAGAACCGUGUGGAUGUGGCACUGAGGAACAUGGUUGGUGGGCAUGGUGGGGAUGGGUUGGCAAUUGGACUAGAUGAUUCGAAUGUUCUCUUUUUGUUGUUUUUUUUUUCAAAAAAAUCCAAUUAUUCUGUUCUUUUUUAUUAAUAUCGUUAUUUACAACUAUAUGCCUUAGAAUCCUCAAACAAUACUUACUGUUUUCCAUCCUGGAGGCGGCUGAAUUACAGUGGUGAGCAAAAUGCCCUUUGUACAUAUGGUAAGUAAUCAGCUGCUGAAUUUCAUGAGGUGCUUGGUGAUCUUUGGAUUGGGGAUGCCCUAUGUGUUGGUCACUCCUUGGCAGGAGCAGACGUAGGCUCUGGAUGAUGGGUAAAGUGAGAAUUCCAGAGAACUGAACAAGAUAAGAUGAAGGUUUAUGAUAAGCCAUCCUUUCUCUCACACACACUCUUAAAAAAAAAAAAAUCAUUAUAUUUAUUCAUUUUUCAAUGUAACAAAAGAAAGUGUGUCCAAAAAGGAUUUUCUGUUGCGUAAGUAAAAGGUAUCAAAGUGAUUCAAAAACUCAGAUCUCCUCUCUAACCACAGCACAAGCUAUAAAAAUCUUCCCCUUUCUACUGUCUUACCCAGUAUAUUUCAUCUGGGAUCUGACGGGGCUGCUCAGGGAAUUAGAGACAAUGCUGUACCUGUAUCCAUGUUUGUAAAAGUCCGCUAUGGUGGUAGUUCGUCAUAUGGACCUGUUGCAGGUGGCCACCUGUUUGCACUCCAGGCAUUCUGAGGGCUUGACAAAAACACACUAAACAUAAUGAAAAUGUCUGUAAUGUAGUCUCUAAACUUUUCAUUCUGCUGCCACGCUUGUGCAAUUUCAAAUGAUGCUGUACGUCCUCCAUUCCAGUAGCCUGACUGAGCAUCAGCAUUCAUUUACAAGGUGACUGGAGUGCUACUUAAGCAAAGUAAAAAUACAUUCAGUUUGUUUUUCAGUCCACCAUCGCGUGGUUAGUUCUAAGUGAAUUUCAUGUCAAGUUGAUGGCCCAGGCAUCCUCCUUUUAUCUAUAAGCACUUAUUCCAGCGGCAGAACAAAAGCCCUUCUGCUCUGAUCCUUAACAGUAUAUCUUCCUACAGAAGCGACUUCAGAUGGCAGCCCCUCCAAGCCCUUGAUCUCUCUGCCAGCCUCUGUAACGAAGGUGCAGAUUUGCGAUGGUGCUUUCUAUGAUGUGCUUCCCUAGCAGAAACUCGACUGGGAAUUUCAAAUCGUCUCACAGAGAGCAGCGCUGUCUAAUAUUAUUAUUCACCGAUGUUCUAAAAAUAGUUGUGGUUAGAUUAUAACAGAUAGAAACCCAUGGAAAUGGACCAGAAUGAUAACAGUUACUUUGGAAUGAAAAAAAAAAAAAAAAAGGAUUGUUUCCAGAGGAAAAUAUUUAAUUAUUUUAUAUGCCUAUUAACUGCCAUGAAGGGUAUUGGUGAUUUCUUAUUAUUUUUGUUGUUGUUGUUGGGUUUGGACAGAAGAGCCUGGAUUGCAGAUGCCAAGAAAUAUGGUAACAGCAGCAUUUCUCACAAACUUUGCCUGUUUUGUGAAGUGUUGGCCGUGACACCUGAUUAUGCGACUGCCCACUGUGUAGGAGUUGCAAGGUCAGCAUGAACUAAACAAAGGAAAACCGUGGUCUCACCCAAUAUACAGCCCACAGCAAACACAGAGUGUGCAGGGAGUAAUGAGUUUGCAUGAUAAGAGUAUAAUCGUUGUUUUGGGUGCUGUUGUCCUUGAAAACUGCUUUAGAAGCUUUUCCCAUCAGGUAGCAUCAGCUGUGAGUGAGAGCAGCCUCCUUAGAAACUGCUAUUUUAUCCUGCUCAACUGCAGACAUAGGCUCUGAGCCUUCAGUACCUGUUCUCCAACUUCAGACAUGACAGCCAGAUGUUUUCUCUCCCCACCCAGACUGCUGGCAGCACACAUACCUCAGUUGGUAAAGCUUUAAGACGUCCAUCAGUCUCAUGGGAUCUCUGGUAAACACCAAGAAGAUUCCCUGGAGUGCUUCAUCAAGAUCAAGUGCAGCAAAAGACUCAGUGCUGUCUCAUUCUCUGCCCAGCCUUGGGCACAGAUUUGAGCAACAUGAGAGCUGCUGUGACCCAUGUCAUCUGGCAGUGGUCCCCAAGAGCUUGUUUACACAGGAUAUUUUUUCACGAGAAUGUAAUUACACCGCUGAAACUACAUGAGCGUGAAAACUUUGCACGUGUAGCAGAGUUAAGCCAGUGGAGAGAGUACCCACGUUCAGAGGCUUUGACAGGACUCAGCAUCCAACAGCAUCUGAUGGAUCACCUAUUACAGUCUGAAGACUUUAAAUCUGUCCAAGAGUGGUUUCCAAAGCUCAGAAUGAACGAUUUUGUAAUCAGCGACCUGACUUCGAGAGCUGCUUGAUAGUACAAAAUCUCAUUAAAGAUAAAAGACUAAAAGAAAAAAUCCUGAAACACCUGGUAUCACCAACUCCCAGCAAGAAGCAGCAUUACUGAACACUGUGGCAGAAGCCUGGAUUCUAGAAAGAUCAGGGAAAAAGAAGAAACUGCAGUAGAAACAUUUGGCUUGUCACAAUUGUUAUAUGGCACUGUAGCUGCAACUUCGUAAUGUGCAAUAAAACUGACAUGACGAGUUUUCUUUGAAAAGCACUUUGGUUCUGGAAUAAAAUCACAUGCAUCAAAAAUAUGGCAUAGCCUUCUGUAUUGCAUAAUGUAUUGCAUAAGAGAAAAUAGAGAAUAGCUGUUCC
ensembl:lncRNA